GGUUAAGCGACUAAGCGUACACGGUGGAUGCCCCCGGCAGUCAGAGGCGAUGAAGGACGUGCUAAUCUGCGAAAAGCGUCGGUAAGGUGAUAUGAACCGUUAUAACCGGCGAUGUCCGAAUGGGGAAACCCAGUGCAAUUCGUUGCACUAUCGUUAACUGAAUACAUAGGUUAACGAGGCGAACCGGGGAACUGAAACAUCUAAGUACCCCGAGGAAAAGAAAUCAACCGAGAUUCCCCAGUAGCGGCGAGCGAACGGGGAGCAGCCCAGAGUCUGAAUCAGCUUGUGUGUUAGUGGAACGGUCUGGAAAGUCCGACGGUACAGGGUGAUAGUCCCGUACACCAAAAUGCACAGGUUGUGAACUCGAAGAGUAGGGCGGGACACGUGGUAUCCUGUCUGAAUAUGGGGGACCAUCCUCCAAGGCUAAAUACUCCUGACUGACCGAUAGUGAACCAGUACCGUGAGGGAAAGGCGAAAAGAACCCCGGCGAGGGGAGUGAAAAAGAACCUGAAACCGUGUACGUACAAGCAGUGGGAGCACCUUCGGGUGUGACUGCGUACCUUUGUAUAAUGGGUCAGCGACUUAUAUUCUGUAGCAAGGUUAACCGUAUAGGGGAGCCGCAGGAAACCGAGUCUUAACUGGGCGUUAAGUUGCAGGGUAUAGACCCGAAACCCGGUGAUCUAGCCAUGGGCAGGUUGAAGGUUGGGUAACACUAACUGGAGGACCGAACCGACUAAUGUUGAAAAAUUAGCGGAUGACUUGUGGCUGGGGGUGAAAGGCCAAUCAAACCGGGAGAUAGCUGGUUCUCCCCGAAAGCUAUUUAGGUAGCGCCUCGUGAACUCAUCUUCGGGGUAGAGCACUGUUUCGGCUAGGGGUCAUCCCGACUUACCAACCCGAUGCAAACUACGAAUACCGAAGAAUGUUAUCACGGGAGACACACGGCGGGUGCUAACGUCCGUCGUGAAGAGGGAAACAACCCAGACCGCCAGCUAAGGUCCCAAAGUCAUGGUUAAGUGGGAAACGAUGUGGGAAGGCACAGACAGCCGGGAUGUUGGCUUAGAAGCAGCCAUCAUUUAAAGAAAGCGUAAUAGCUCACUGGUCGAGUCGGCCUGCGCGGAAGAUGUAACGGGGCUAAACCAUGCACCGAAGCUGCGGCAGCGACACUAUGUGUUGUUGGGUAGGGGAGCGUUCUGUAAGCCUGCGAAGGUGUGCUGUGAGGCAUGCUGGAGGUAUCAGAAGUGCGAAUGCUGACAUAAGUAACGAUAAAGCGGGUGAAAAGCCCGCUCGCCGGAAGACCAAGGGUUCCUGUCCAACGUUAAUCGGGGCAGGGUGAGUCGACCCCUAAGGCGAGGCCGAAAGGCGUAGUCGAUGGGAAACAGGUUAAUAUUCCUGUACUUGGUGUUACUGCGAAGGGGGACGGAGAAGGCUAUGUUAGCCGGGCGACGGUUGUCCCGGUUUAAGCAUGUAGGCUGAUUGUCCGAGGCAAAUCCGGAUAAUCAAGGCUGAGGUGUGAUGACGAGGCACUACGGUGCUGAAGUAACAAAUGCCCUGCUUCCAGGAAAAGCCUCUAAGCAUCAGGUAACAUUAAAUCGUACCCCAAACCGACACAGGUGGUCAGGUAGAGAAUACCAAGGCGCUUGAGAGAACUCGGGUGAAGGAACUAGGCAAAAUGGUGCCGUAACUUCGGGAGAAGGCACGCUGGUGUGUAGGUGAAGUCCCUGCGGAUGGAGCUGAGACCAGUCGAAGAUACCAGCUGGCUGCAACUGUUUAUUAAAAACACAGCACUGUGCAAACACGAAAGUGGACGUAUACGGUGUGACGCCUGCCCGGUGCCGGAAGGUUAAUUGAUGGGGUUAUCCGUAAGGAGAAGCUCUUGAUCGAAGCCCCGGUAAACGGCGGCCGUAACUAUAACGGUCCUAAGGUAGCGAAAUUCCUUGUCGGGUAAGUUCCGACCUGCACGAAUGGCGUAAUGAUGGCCGGGCUGUCUCCACCCGAGACUCAGUGAAAUUGAACUCGCUGUGAAGAUGCAGUGUACCCGCGGCAAGACGGAAAGACCCCGUGAACCUUUACUAUAGCUUGACACUGAACAUUGAGCCUUGAUGUGUAGGAUAGGUGGGAGGCUUUGAAGCGUGGACGCCAGUCUGCGUGGAGCCAACCUUGAAAUACCACCCUUUAAUGUUUGAUGUUCUAACGUUGGCCCCUGACCGGGGUUGCGGACAGUGUCUGGUGGGUAGUUUGACUGGGGCGGUCUCCUCCCAAAGCGUAACGGAGGAGCACGAAGGUUAGCUAAUCCCCGGUCGGACAUCAGGAGGUUAGUGCAAUGGCAUAAGCUAGCUUGACUGCGAGCGUGACGGCGCGAGCAGGUGCGAAAGCAGGUCAUAGUGAUCCGGUGGUUCUGAAUGGAAGGGCCAUCGCUCAACGGAUAAAAGGUACUCCGGGGAUAACAGGCUGAUACCGCCCAAGAGUUCAUAUCGACGGCGGUGUUUGGCACCUCGAUGUCGGCUCAUCACAUCCUCGGGGCUGAAGUAGGUCCCAAGGGUAUGGCUGUUCGCCAUUUAAAGUGGUACGCGAGCUGGGUUUAGAACGUCGUGAGACAGUUCGGUCCCUAUCUGCCGUGGGCGCUGGAGAAUUGAGGGGGCUGCUCCUAGUACGAGAGGACCGGAGUGGACGCAUCACUGGUGUUCGGGUUGUCAUGCCAAUGGCACUGCCCGGUAGCUAAAUGCGGAAGAGAUAAGUGCUGAAAGCAUCUAAGCACGAAACUUGCCCCGAGAUGAGUUCUCCUGAGACUUUAAGUCUCCUGAAGGAACGUUGAAGACGACGACGUUGAUAGGCCGGGUGUGUAAGCGCAGCGAUGCGUUGAGCUAACCGGUACUAAUGAACCGUGAGGCUUAACCUU
rnacentral:rRNA from 1 species